rnacentral:rRNA from 1 species
UACAGAGGGGGCAAGCGUUGUCCGGAAUUACUGGGCGUAAAGCGUGCGCAGGCGGUUGUGCAAGACCGAUGUGAAAGCCCCGGGCUCAACCUGGGAACGGCAUUGGUGACUGCACGGCUAGAGUGUGUCAGAGGGGGGUAGAAUUCCACGUGUAGCAGUGAAAUGCGUAGAGAUGUGGAGGAAUACCGAUGGCGAAGGCAGCCCCCUGGGAUGACACUGACGCUCAUGCACGAAAGCGUGGGGAGCAAACAGG